GGGUUUUGCAGUUUUGUCAUUGUUUGGCCGAAACUUUAAACUCAUCUCAUCUUGACUCCAAGCAAGAAUUAUAUAAAGAUACGGCAACUCCAUCAUUCAGCAGAAAAUUCCUUUGUCUUCCCCUGCUUUUAGUGCAAUAAUUUUGUGAUUAUAUUUUCCAUUAGUGUGUUAGAUAGGAUUUUCCACUUCCUUUUCCCCUCCACAGCAAUGUUGUUUUCCAAUUUAGCCAAACAUAUUGAAUCUUUAUACAUCUCUAUCAGAUGAGAAAAUGGGUGUUUUAAAGACCUCAACUUGAUGAGAUAAUGGUAAGCACAGGCCUAUUUCAAGGACUUUUCAGCUGGGGUUCAGG
rnacentral:misc_RNA from 1 species